GAUGAACGCUAGCGGCAGGCCUAAUACAUGCAAGUCGAACGGUGUCUUCGGACAUAGUGGCGCACGGGUGCGUAACACGUAUGCAACCUACCUUACAUUGGGGGAUAGCCUUUCGAAAGGGAGAUUAAUACCGCAUAAGACAGUAACUAGGCAUCUAGUAGCUGUUAAAGAUUUAUCGAUGUAAGCUGGGCAUGCGUCCAAUUAGCUAGUUGGUGAGGUAACGGCUCACCAAGGCAAUGAUUGGUAGGGGAACUGAGAGGUCAAUCCCCCACACUGGCACUGAGAUACGGGCCAGACUCCUACGGGAGGCAGCAGUAGGGAAUAUUGGGCAAUGGACGCAAGUCUGACCCAGCCAUGCCGCGUGCAGGAUGAAGGCGUUAUGCGUUGUAAACUGCUUUUAUACAGGAAGAAACGACUCUUGCGAGAGGCAUUGACGGUACUGUAUGAAUAAGCACCGGCUAACUCCGUGCA
rnacentral:rRNA from 1 species